rnacentral:lncRNA from 12 species
UAGAGAUCUAUAGGGGUCUAUAGGGGUCUGUAGGGGUCUAUAGAGAUCUAUAGGGGUCUAUAGGGGUCUGUAGGGGUCUAUAGAGCGUGUGUGUCACUGUGUGUCACCCCGUGAGUGUCACCCUGCGUGUGUCACCCUGUGUCACCGUGUGUCACUCUGUGUCACCUUGUGUGUGUCACCCCUCUGUGUCACCCCGUGUGUGUCACCCUGCGUGUGUCACCCUGUGUCACCGUGUGUCACUCUGUGUCACCCCGUGUGUGUCACCCUGCGUGUGUCACCCGGCAGGCUGCGAGUG